rnacentral:misc_RNA from 1 species
GAUGAAGAACGUAGCGAAAUGCGAUAAGUAAUGUGAAUUGCAGAAUUCAGUGAAUCAUCGAAUCUUUGAACGCACAUUGCGCCCCCCAGUAUUCUGGCGGGCAUGCCUGUUCGAGCGUCAUUUCAACCAUCAAGCCCUGCUUGUGUUGGGGUCCUGCGGCUGCCCGCAGGCCCUGAAAACCAGUGGCGGGCUCGCUAGUCACACCGAGCGCAGUAGCACAUCUCGCUCAGGGCGUGCGGCGGGCUCCAGCCGUUAAAGCACCCACCUUUCGCAAGGUUGACCUCGGAUCAGGUAGGAAUACCCGCUGAGCUUAAGCAUAUCAAUAAGCGAGGA